rnacentral:rRNA from 13 species
CAAUUGGAGGGCAAGUCUGGUGCCAGCAGCCGCGGUAAUUCCAGCUCCAAUAGCGUAUAUUAAAGUUGUUGCAGUUAAAACGCUCGUAGUCGGAUUUCGGGGCGGGGCCGCCGGUCUGCCGUUGGGUAUGCACUGGCGGGCGCGUCCUUCCUUCCGGAGACUGGCCCUACUCUUAACUGAGCGGGGUCGGGAAUCGGAUCGUUUACUUUGAAAAAAUCAGAGUGUUUCAAGCAGGCAGCUCGCUCUUGCAUGGAUUAGCAUGGGAUAAUGAAAUAGGACUUUGGUGCUAUUUUGUUGGUUUCGAACACCGAAGUAAUGAUUAACAGGGACAGUCAGGGGCACUCGUAUUCCGCAGAGAGAGGUGAAAUUCUCAGACCCGCGGAAGACGAACCACUGCGAAAGCAUUUGCCAGGGAUGUUUUCACUGAUCAAGAACGAAAGUUAGGGGAUCGAAGACGAUCAGAUACCGUCGUAGUCUUAACCAUAAACUAUGCCGACUCGGGAUCGGGCGAUGUUAUUCAUGACUCGCUCGGCACCGUAUGAGAAAUCAAAGUUUUUGGGUUCUGGGGGGAGUAUGGUCGCAAGGCUGAAACUUAAAGGAAUUGACGGAAGGGCACCACCAGGAGUGGAGCCUGCGGCUUAAUUUGACCCAACACGGGGAAACUCACCAGGUCCAGACACGAUAAGGAUUGACAGAUUGAGAGCUCUUUCUUGAUUUUAUGGGUGGUGGUGCAUGGCCGUUCUUAGUUGGUGGAGUGAUUUGUCUGGUU